rnacentral:rRNA from 1 species
GAAUUGACGGGGGCCCGCACAAGCGGUGGAGCAUGUGGUUUAAUUCGAUGCAACGCGAAGAACCUUACCUGGUCUUGACAUCCACGGAAGUUUUCAGAGAUGAGAAUGUGCCUUCGGGAACCGUGAGACAGGUGCUGCAUGGCUGUCGUCAGCUCGUGUUGUGAAAUGUUGGGUUAAGUCCCGCAACGAGCGCAACCCUUAUCCUUUGUUGCCAGCGGUCCGGCCGGGAACUCAAAGGAGACUGCCAGUGAUAAACUGGAGGAAGGUGGGGAUGACGUCAAGUCAUCAUGGCCCUUACGACCAGGGCUACACACGUGCUACAAUGGCGCAUACAAAGAGAAGCGACCUCGCGAGAGCAAGCGGACCUCAUAAAGUGCGUCGUAGUCCGGAUUGGAGUCUGCAACUCGACUCCAUGAAGUCGGAAUCGCUAGUAAUCGUGGAUCAGAAUGCCACGGUGAAUACGUUCCCGGGCCUUGUACACACCGCCCGUCACACCAUGGGAGUGGGUUG